rnacentral:rRNA from 1 species
AACCGCGAACGGCUCAUUACAACAGCUAUAAUUUACUUGAUCUUGACCAAACCUACUUGGAUAACUGUGGUAAUUCUAGAGCUAAUACAUGCACCAAAGCUCCGACCCGUGAGGGAAGAGCGCAUUUAUUAGACUCAAAACCAUACGGCUUCGGCCGUCCAUUGUUGACUCAGAAUAACUAAGCUGAUCGCACGGUCUUGCACCGGCGACGUGUCUUUCAAGUAUCUGCCUUAUCAACUUUCGAUGGUAGCAUCAUCGGCUACCAUGGUGGUGACGGGUAACGGAGGAUCAGGGUUCGACUCCGGAGAAGGGGCCUGAGAAAUGGCCACUACGUCUAAGGAUGGCAGCAGGCGCGCAAAUUACCCACUCUCAGAAUUCAGAGGAGGUAGUGACGAGAAAUAACGAGGCAGUUCUCUUCAGAGGCCUGCCAUCGGAAUGGGUACAAUUUAAACCCUUUAACGAGUAUCUAUGAGAGGGCAAGUCUGGUGCCAGCAGCCGCGGUAAUUCCAGCUCUCAAAAUGCAU